ACUCCUACGGGAGGCAGCAGUGGGGAAUAUUGCACAAUGGAGGAAACUCUGAUGCAGCAACGCCGCGUGGAGGAUGACACUUUUCGGAGCGUAAACUCCUUUUAUAUAGGAAGAUAAUGACGGUACUAUAUGAAUAAGCACCGGCUAACUCCGUGCCAGCAGCCGCGGUAAUACGGAGGGGUGCAAGCGUUACUCGGAAUCACUGGGGCGUAAAGAGCGUGUAGGCGGGUUAUUAAGUCAGAAGUGAAAUCCUAUGGCUCAACCAUAGAACUGCUUUUGAAACUGGUAACCUAGAGUAUGGGAGAGGUAGAUGGAAUUUCUGGUGUAGGGGUAAAAUCCGUAGAGAUCAGAAGGAAUACCGAUUGCGAAGGCGAUCUACUGGAACAUUACUGACGCUGAGACGCGAAAGCGUGGGGAGCAAACAGGAUUAGAUACCCUGGUAGACUGUCA
rnacentral:rRNA from 1 species